rnacentral:misc_RNA from 1 species
UAACGCCAAAGCGAUUGACGCAUACCUUGAAGCCUGGUUGCAGCGAAUGCGGGCGGAUCAAGCGGGCCCUUACGCUCGUGGGCUAUACUCUACAAAACAAUCUAUGACCGCCACGGAUACGCGUUCAGCUUCAUCGCAAGUCUGCUCUGCGGAGCAUCUUUCAAAAUGAUGGGGAACUUGUUGCCUCUCUAUGUCCUGAGCCGGGCGAAUGAGCAGGACUUUCCCGAUCAUCCGACCGCUCUGUUGGCGAAGCUUGGCGGCUUCGAAUGUACCCACGCGAACGCCUGGGUUAAGGCCGCCGCAGCAGUCUCGUAUCUAAACCUGGACAAGGUGUCUCCUCUGGACUGUGCGAUCAACCUACUCGCGCAGUUGUGAUGAAAAGGAAAUCCAGUCAUGAAAGUCAUUGUUAAUGGCAGCACCGAAUUCGAUAAACCCCUCUCCACAUCGGACGAGCUAAUACAACACAUGUAUUUGGAAGGGCCCGCCGAGCUCACGAGUCGCA